rnacentral:rRNA from 1 species
GAUAAACGCUGGCGGCGUGCCUAACACAUGCAAGUCGAACGUUCUUUUGUUUUUCGGAACGAGAGGGAGUGGCGGACGGGUGAGUAACACAUGGGUGACCUGCCCUGAAGUGAGGGAUACCGGCGAGAAAUCGCCGACAAGCCCGCAUAGGUUCUUUCUGGUGGAGCGGAGAGAGCAAAGGUCCUUUUCGGAGGGCUGCUUUGGGAUGGGCCUGUGGCCGAUUAGCUGGUUGGUGGGGUAAGAGCCUACCAAGGCGACGAUCGGUAGCUG